GUGCGGGGUGGUGGAGCGGGGAUGGAGAAGUCGGAUUUCUCUGACAACUCUGCUGACAGGACAAACACAUCAGCUGGAAGCGCUGCUGAACCAGAUUUCAUCUAAUCUUUGUGCUUGAUUCUAAGCUGAAGAUUCCCCUGAAUAAAGUCCACAUAUUUCUAAGAACAAGCAGUUCAGAUAUUUCUAUUCUAGUUUCCACCAUACCACAAGAACUGAAAUAGCAUCAAUUAAAAUUGUCAUUGACCUCUCACAGAGCACUGAUAUAAAAGCCAUUCUCCCCGUGUCCCAGCUGCUUUUUAUACAACAGGGUAUUUGAUUUUCUCUGAACAUCUGAUAGAAAGAUUAAGCCAUCCAGUGCUCCCAAUUAAAACCAGUUUGUGUUCUACAGUGGAGUUAACUACUUCAUUAAAUCACUUAUUAUGGAUCUUCUCAGAGCACUGUGUUCAGUUCUUCAGUCUGUAGAUUUUUUUCACUUACGGAUCUAAUAAAAUCAUCAGGAAGCUUAAAUUUCAUUCAGAUGCCAACUAUCACAAAGAUGUAAUUAAAAAUCAUUACCACUAUUCCAUCUGCCACUUCUGUGUGUUGUCAGUGCACCUGACUCCUCUAUGUCUCUGCUGUUAAGAGUCUGGAAAUGUAAUGCAGGAUGAACAGAGAAAAUAUCUGUGUUAUCUGGACACUGUAUAUUUCUCUCACAGCAUCCCUCACUGCUCUUUCUCAACCCCAGGAGUCUCUGGUCCAGCACCAAGCCAGUGUUCCUUCAUGGGAGUGAAAUGCUUCUCCUUUCUCUUUGGGAAUAUUGCCAGUACACUUCCUUGCCUCUGCUGGAUGCAACUGUCCUUCUUCAUGUCUGUGCUUUGUUCCAUUUAGACCAGCGUAAUGUUAGACCCUUUCUGCUGAUGUGUAUGCAUGCAGAAUUAAUAGACUUCAUCUACUACAAAAAGAUGUUGGCAGGAGUUUUGUUGGCAGCAGACAGAGUAAGCACAUAACUCCCUUCGUAGCUUGGUUACCCUGGUUGCCAGCCACAUUCAAUAUUGGCCUCAAGGUGCUUCCUCUUGACCUUUAAAGCCUGGUGGAAUCUCAACCAGGGUGCUUCCUCCAAGGCAGCAAUUCCCUCACCU